rnacentral:rRNA from 1 species
AACUGCCCGAAAGGGCAGCUAAUACCGCAUGAGACCUGAGGGUGAAAGCGGGGGAUCGCAAGACCUCGCGCUGGAAGAGCGGCCGAUGUCCGAUUAGCUGGUUGGUGAGGUAAAGGCUCACCAAGGCGACGAUCGGUAGCUGGUCUGAGAGGACGACCAGCCACACUGGGACUGAGACACGGCCCAGACUCCUACGGGAGGCAGCAGUGGGGAAUUUUGGACAAUGGGGGCAACCCUGAUCCAGCCAUGCCGCGUGCAGGAUGAAGGUCUUCGGAUUGUAAACUGCUUUUGUCAGGGACGAAAAGGGAUGCGAUAACACCGUAUUCCGCUGACGGUACCUGAAGAAUAAGCACCGGC